AGUGGUCAGAGUGACCCCAACAGAGUGUCCCGGGACUCAGGCCUCUGAUCAAGUUACCCCCAGAGGAUCAGAGAGGGGUUGACGAAGGAGAAGCAUUCAGAGGGCACUGGCUUCUGGACAGCAAUGAGUGCCCGGGCCACGCGGCCCCGAAGCCGGCGAGGGAGGCAUGCUCCACCCGGUGAACUGGAUCCCGUGGCUGAGAGUUCAGAGGAGGUCGAGGCAGCCAGUGGGAGCUCCAAGCCCAGCUUUGCCCCACCUCCGGUGAGCUCCGGGCUGGAGCAGCUGGGCCCCAUGGAGGAGGUCAGUGGCCAAGGCCUAGGAAGCAGGACUGACAAGAAGAUGGAUGGGGGCUCUGGCAGGGAACUGGCCUCAGCCCCCGAAGUGCCCCACAAACCUGCAGUGGAAGCCCACCAAGCCCCAGAAGCAGCCCUACAGUACAAGGAGACUGUGCCCCCUGGGAAUGGGGCCCCCGAUGUGUUUCAGACCCUCCAGCACACUCUGAGCUCCCUGGAGGCAGCGGCUGCAGCCUGGCGCCACCAGCCCCCCAGCCAUUCUGGGCCGAUGGAGUUCGAAGGCACAAGCGAAGGGGGAGCAGGUUCCCUUGGGAAGCAGGAAGGGGCAGGGAGCUGCCAGCGAGAGGCAGCUCGCCUGGCCGAGAGGAAUGCCUGGCUCCGGCUGGCCCUGAGUAGCCGAGAGGAUGAGCUGGUCCGCACGCAGGCCUCCCUGGAGGCCAUCCGAGCUGAGAAGGAGACGCUGCAGAAAGAGGUUCAAGAGCUGCAGGAUUCCCUCUUGAGGCUGGAGCCCUGCCCACAUCUUUCCCACAACCAAGCAGGUGGCUCAGGCAGUGGUUCUAGCAGCUCUGAGGCAGACAGGGAACCCUGGGAGACUCAGGACUCCUUCUCCCUGGCUCACCCCCUGCUUCGGCGCCUCCGCAGCCAUUCCAGCACCCAGAUCCUUGGGUCUCUUCCCAACCAGCCCCUCAGUCCUGAGAUGCACAUCAUGGAAGCCCAGAUGGAGCAACUCCGGGGGAGCAUUGAGAAGCUCAAAUGCUUUAAUCGUCUGCUAUCAGCUGUGCUACAGGGAUACAAGGGCCGCUGUGAAGGCCUCAGCAUGCAGCUAGGCCAGCGGGAGGCUGAGGCCACAGCAUUGCAUCUGGCCUUGCAGUACAGAGUCUUGCUCUGUCACCCAGGCUGGAGUGCAGUGGUGCCAUCUUGGCUCACUGCAACCUCCGCCUCCCCAGUUCAAGUGAUUCUCCUGCCUCAGCCUCCUGAGUAGCUGGAACUACAGUGAACACUGUGAAGAGGCAUACAGGGUUCUGCUUGCUCUGCGGGAGGCCGACUCAGGAGCAGGAGACGAAGCCCCCAUGAGUGACCUGCAAGCAGCUGAAAAGGAAGCAUGGAGGCUGCUGGCACAAGAGGAGGCUGCCAUGGAUGCAGGAGCACAGCAGAAUCCACAGCCAAGCCCUGAAGGCAGCAGUGUGGAUAAGCCCACCCCACAGGAAGUGGCUUUCCAGCUCCGAAGCUAUGUCCAGCGUCUCCAGGAGCGCCGUUCUCUAAUGAAGAUUCUCUCAGAGCCUGGCCCCACCUUGGCACCCAUGCCCACUGUGCCCCGUGCAGAAGCCAUGGUGCAGGCCAUUCUGGGGACCCAGGCUGGCCCAGCUCUUCCCCGACUGGAGAAGACACAAAUUCAGCAGGACCUGGUGGCCGCAAGGGAGGCCCUGGCGGACCUGAUGCUUCGGCUGCAGCUGGUGCGGCGUGAGAAGCGGGGCCUAGAGCUGCGGGAGGCUGCCCUCCGAGCCCUGGGUCCAGCUCACGUGCUCCUGCUGGAGCAGCUGCGGUGGGAACGGGCAGAGCUCCAGGCUGGUGGGGCAAACAGCAGUGGCGGACAUAGCAGCGGAGGUGGCAGCAGCGGGGACGAGGAAGAGUGGUAUCAGGGCCUUCCUGCUGUCCCUGGUGGCACCAGUGGCAUUGAUGGUGGCCAGGUGGGCAGAGCCUGGGACCCAGAGAAGUUAGCCCAGGAACUGGCAGCAUCGCUCACCAGGACACUGGACCUGCAGGAGCAGCUGCAGUCUCUGCGCAGGGAGCUGGAACAGGUGGCUCAGAAGGGGCGAGCCAGACGGUCUCAGAGUGCCGAGCUGAACAGGGAUUUAUGCAAAGCCCACAGCGCCCUGGUCCUGGCCUUCCGAGGAGCCCACCGGAAGCAGGAAGAGCAACGCCGGAAGUUGGAGCAGCAGAUGGCACUCAUGGAGGCUCAGCAGGCCGAGGAGGUGGCGGUGCUCGAAGCCACUGCAAGGGCCCUGGGGAAGCCCAGGCCUCCCCUCCCGCCUCCCCAGCUUGGGGACACCUUUCUGUAGGCCCCUUACCCAGCCAUGUCUGGACAUGCCAGACAGCUGUGGCAUGUCAUAAACUGUCCUGGAGUGACAUCAUGUCAUGUUGCAUGAUUUGGCAUGUUGGGGCACAUUUGGCGUGAGGGAAGCUGGUGCACAUGGGUGUCCAGGGCCUGAUGGGGUGUGGCCAGGCAAUGAAGAAAGACUCAGGUGUCUUUGGCCUGGCACCAAGUGGAAUGUGAACUUCAUAUCAGUGGGGUCAGGCCAGAAGCAACCUGGGCUAUGGGACCAGGUCCCUGGGACUGACGCAUUUCGGGGGUCCGUGAGGUUGCAUAGCCACAGCUGAAGUUCCAACUGGCCUGUCUCCCGAAGCCCAGGGAGGGAUUCAUGGGGACUGGACAGAGCUUCUCCUGGCAGCCCCUUCCCAGGGAGAUGCUGGGUUUGGCUGGCAGAUUUUCCUGAAGGGGGCCGGGCUCAGUGGUGCACAUCUGUAAUCCCAGCAUUUUGGGAGGCCAAGGUGGGUAGAUCACUUGAGCCCAGGAGUUCAAGACCAGCCUGGGCAACAUGGCAAAACCCCAUUUCUACAAAAAAAUACAAAAAUUAGCCAGGCGUGGUGGCAUGUGCCUAUAAAGAUAUUUAGGAGGCUAAAGUGGGAGGGUAACUUGAGCUUGGGAAGUGGAGGUUGCAGUGAGCUGAGAUCACGCCACUGCACUCCAGUCUGGGUCACAGAGUAAGACCUUGUCUCAAAAAAAAAAACAGGCCAGGCGUGGUGACUCAUGCCUGUAAUCCCAGCACUUUGGGAGGCUGAGGCGGGGAGGAUCACCUGAGGUCAGGAGCUUGAGACCAGCUUGGCCAACAUGGUGAAACCCCCGUCUCUACUAAAAAUACAAAAAUUGGCUGGGUGUUGUGGCACAUGCCUGUAAUCCCGGCUACUCGGGAGACUGAGGCAGGAUAAUUGCUUGAACCUGAGAGGCGGGGGUUGCAGUGAACCGAGAUCGCGCCAACAACAAGAUCGUGCCCGGGCAAUAAGAGCAAAACUCUGUCUCUAAAUAAAUAAAUAAAACACAAAACAAAACAAAAA